UACGGAGGGGGCGAGCGUUAUUCGGAAUUAUUGGGCGUAAAGGGCGCGUAGGCGGCUGUACAAGUCAAAGGUGAAAUCCCUCGGCUCAACUGAGGAACUGCCUUUGAAACUGUACGGCUUGAGGCCGGGAGGGGGUAGCGGAAUUCCCAGUGUAGCGGUGAAAUGCGUAGAUACUGGGAGGAACACCAGUGGCGAAGGCGGCUACCUGGACCGGUUCUGACGCUGAGGCGCGAAAGCGUGGGUAUCAAACAGG
rnacentral:rRNA from 1 species